UGACUUGUUCCAAACGUAAGUUAUUCUCGACAUAGUUGGUCUCAAUGUAGAUGUUUCGAAUAAGAGUAAUUCUAUGGCGAUGCUUUUUUUGUUGAAGCUUGUUUUGAAUAAUGAUUAUUUCGAAAAAACAUAAUUGUUCUAAAUACAAGUUGUUUCGAACAAUGGUUGUUCUAAAUAUAGUUGUAAUACCCGAUUUUUUGCCCCGAGUAUAAAUUAUAAACGGGCCCAAAUGAAAUUGCCCAAUUACAACAAAAUGGGGCCCAAACCAAAAUAAAACACAGGCCCAAUGUGCGAUGGCCCAAAAUCACCAGAAACCCUAGGGUUUCUAAUCUUCAACAGCGCCGCAACUCCAAUCUUGGCCGAAUCUCCAUGGAUUCACCUGCAUAGCAAGAAAAAAUGAAAAUGGAAAGGGAAUCAAAAUUUGAAAAUCAAAUCAAGAACAUAUUUCUUUCCUUUUUAGAUUUAUUUCAUACGGCUAUAAGAGGCCAUUGAACACACUGUAGACGGAAAUUGGCAAUCAAUAAAGAACCAUAUUCCACAAUCAAAAACAGCAAUACCAAGAGCAAAAAUCGAUUAAAGGUGGUUAUUUGCAUUUUUUUCUUUUCUGUUAUUUUUCUAUACAUAAAUAAAUAGGAUAAAGAAGGGUAAAAAGGGAAAAGAAAUGACCGUCUUGGUUCUAAAACGAAGUCGAAGCGGUAGAGAAAGCCACCCUCAAGGAUUGGUGGCCGAAAACCGAAAGGUUUUCGUGAUUUCUCCGCGUAUUCUGCCAGAUUUUGGGAUUUUUAAGCCCCGAUCUGUACCUGGACAGGUUGGAAAGGCCGAAUAGGGAGUUUUCCCUUUUUCAGCCACCGCAUACGGCGGUGCCGGCGCCGGAGAUCGACGGCCGGCGCGGUGGCCGAUGACCGGCCGAUGGUCAGACUAAGGGGCCGGUGCCCGAAGAAGAAGGGAGAAUUUGAGAGAUUUUUUUAAAAAGUUUUUUUU
rnacentral:lncRNA from 1 species